UACGGGGGGAGCAAGCGUUGUUCGGAUUUACUGGGCGUAAAGGGCGCGUGGGCGGUCGUGACAAGUCACUUGUGAAAUCUCCGGGCUUAACUCGGAACGGUCAAGUGAUACUGUCGGACUAGAGUACAGAAGGGGCAACUGGAAUUCUCGGUGUAGCGGUGAAAUGCGUAGAUAUCGAGAGGAACACCUGCGGCGAAGGCGGGUUGCUGGGCUGAUACUGACGCUGAGGCGCGAAAGCCAGGGGAGCGAACGGG
rnacentral:rRNA from 1 species